AAUCCUCCUCCUCCUCCUCCUCCUCCAUGGCUACGUCUCGAGCUCAAGUGGUGACGUGUCCAUGUCGUCCCUGCAUGAGGUGCACGUGGCCAUACACGUAUAUGGCUCUGCACAGUUGAUCCAGCAGGUUUAUUUUAUUGAUUUCUUUUUCGUUCAUUAGCAGAGUUGAUCAGAUUUCGUUAUCUGAUCAAGUGCUCGAGUUCAUUUCAUGGGCUAGUGACCCUGGAAGAUUAUGGCAUUGGGAUAAUCAUGAGAGAUCAGCGAGCAGGUUUCAUUGCAUUUGCAGUUCAUGACAGUUUCAGAUAAAUUAAGCUCUCAUGUCAGACAGUCAGCGGCUGAAGCUUUGUGAACGGUUAAACGGGUACUGAAGACUGCGAAUCUGCAACUAGAUAAACAAAGGAAGAACAUGUGUAGCCUACUAAUUUAUGCCAUUUUGUUGUGGCUCUUCGUGAUAUGAUGGAGCUGACGCAUCAGUUUCAGAAACUGUUGCGUCAAAA
rnacentral:lncRNA from 1 species